CGUCCCUCCCCUCACCUCGCCACGACCCAGCGAGUGCGCAAGCUCCUGUCAAACGCGGUGACGGCGGCCGAGAAGAAAAAAAGGCGGGAGCCACCAAUCCCAGGUGGAGCAAAAUGGCGCGGGAGAACGAGAUGCAGGAGUUCAUCCGUAGCUUCUUCCGAGGCCGCCCAGACCUCAGCACGCUCACGCACUCCAUAGUGCGGCGGAGGUUCUUGGCUCACGCGGGCCGCGAUCACCUGGAACCCGACGAGAAGCAAGCACUGAAGCGGCUAGUGGAGAAAGAGCUGCUGAAAGUGCAGGUGGAUGAAGCAGGUGCCAGGGAAGAGAGGCUAGAUCUUGCCAAGGCGAAGAGGCCUCCCACCCCCAGCAGUGGCCCUGGGAGAAAAAGGUUCCGUUUCAAUUCGGAGUCAGAGCCCAGCUCUGCAGCCUCCAGUCCAGACUGUUUUGGCCUCUCAGCAAAGAAUGGGAUGGCGGCACAAGUCAGUCCAGCAGAGGAGGAGAGUCCAAAGCGAGCCUCAAAGAAAGCAGUUGAGGAGAGCAGUGAUGAGGAAGAACAGCAGAGGGACCUGGCUGCAAAGACGGGUUUCGAGAAGGAGGUGGUGGAGAGCAGUGGGGAGGAGGAAGAGGUCUCCGCCAGAACAAGUAAGGUCUCAAAGGAAGAGAGCAGUGAGGAAGAGGAGAAAGAGAGCGAGGAGGAGCCCAAAGGCAGGAUUAGGAAGAAACCCGUGACAAAGAAUAAGCAGGCACAGGGCAAAACGUCAGCCAGGAGGAAGCAGGCCAGGGACGGGAGUGAGGACAGCGAGGAGGAACCCGCCCAGAGGACAAGAAAGAAGGCAGAGGGAAAGAAAAGCGAGGAAGAGAGCAGUGAGGAAGGCGAGGAGGAAGAGGAGCCCAAAGGCAGGAUUAGGAAGAAACCCGUGGCGAAGAAUAAGCAGGCACCGGGCAAGACGUCAGCCAGGAGGAAGCAGGCCAGGGACGGGAGUGAGGACAGCGAGGAGGAACCCGCCCAGAGGACAAGAAAGAAGGCAGAGGGAAAGAAAGGUGCUAAAAGCCACGAGGAAAGUGAAAAGGACAGUGAAGAGGAGGAUACCACAGCCAAGCAGAAGGAGAACAGAGGGGAGGAGGAGGGUUGGAGACCUGGAGCCAGGAGCAGUGGAGGGAAGAAGUCGGCUUGGGAGGAGAGGAGCUGUAAGCAGAAGAGCAGGGCAGCCAGGCUGCUGGGAGACGUGCGGGACAAAGAGGAAGAAAAGGAAAAAGCGGCAGCAGGCAGUGGGGAGACCAGCGGGGAAGAUGAAGAGCCCCUAGUGCAGAGGGCGGGCCAGGCCAGGACCCCGGGGAAAGGUGGCAAAAGGCCUAGCGGAAGCAGCGAGGACGGGGAGGGCAGCUGGAGAGAGGCGAAACCAACUACUGAAGGUGCUGCAAAGACAGCCAAAGUGGGCAGUGGCGAGGCGAGUGACUCAGAGAGGGAAGUGAGUGACAGUGAGGCAGGGGAUAGCCCUAAGGGGGAGAGGGGGAACCGCUCUUCCAAGAAAAGCUCCCGGAAAGGCCGGACACGAAGCUCCUCCUCCUCUUCCACAGAUGGCAGUCCGCAAUCCAAAGGCAGGAAGGCUGGCUCUGGUCGCCGUGGUGAGGACCACCCAGCGGUGAUGAGGCUAAAGCGCUACAUUCGGGCCUGUGGUGCCCAUCGCAACUACAAGAAGCUUCUGGGCUCCUGCCGCUCACACAAGGAGCGCCUCAGUGUCCUCCGGGCAGAGCUGGAGGCCCUGGGCAUGAAGGGUAACCCUUCCUUAGAGAAGUGUCGGGCCCUGAAGGAGCAGCGGGAGGAGGCAGCUGAGGUGGCCGCCUUGGACAUUACCAACAUCAUCAGUGGUUCAGGUCGGCCACGCAGACGCACGGCUUGGAACCCUUCAGGAGCAGACCCCCCAGGGGAGCCGUACCGCCGGACUUUGGGCUCAGAGGAUGAACAGCCCCGUCCCCCACCCCCAGAUUGGUCACAUAUGCGUGGCAUCAUCAGCAGUGACGGGGAGAGUAGCUGAGCUCCUCAGCUUCCCCAGGAGGCUUUCCACUUGUAGAAAGCAGAUAUGGCACCCGCACCCCCCCACUCCAAUCUGUGCCUGCAGAGCAGAAGCAGCUUUCUUCAAAGAGGACGUGUCGCCCCCAGGGACACAAGUUGUUGGGAUCCUACUUCUCAACUUCAUGUUCUCAGUUAAAGGUUCUCCAAAGGAAGUCCCAGCCUCCAGACUCUGCCAUCCAGUCUGCCACCAGGCUCUAUCAGAGAAGAGGGUGGCUCCUACCCUUCUUCCUCCAGCCUGACCAGCAGGGCCCUCAUCAUCAUCAUCAUCAUCAUCAUCAUGCUUUCAGCUGUCAUAAUCUAAUGCCUAGUUGGGAAGGAGGUCUGAAAAACUGGCCUUAAGAAGGAUGUGAAGAACACGAUGAUAGAACUUGGGGACAGCUGGAUUUCCGUCUUCCUUUUCCCCUCUUGGAAACAGCCGUUUAGUCCCUGGGCCAAUUCUUUUAGCUUUAAAGGGGUGGGGAGAGGGCAUAGACCUGGUCAGGAGUACCCCAAGCCUCUGACAGACUGAGUCAAUGAAGUCACUUUAGGACUUUGCUGGCAUUCUUGCUGUUAAGACUGCCAUGAAGAUAUAGGCUUGGAGCUGCCAGAAGCCUGUGUGAAGCGAACUUUUUGAAAAUCUUUGAAGCCAAAGCAAAGGGAAGCAGGGGCCAGGAGAUUGAUGACCUCCUUUAAAGUUGCGGAUCCAGUCAUGCCCGAAGUCCUUAAAAUCACUGAAAUUGUUAGUUACAAUUCCCAAUAAAUUCUUUUAAAUACAA